GCUCCUGUAGUGUAGUCCGGCCCAUCAUUUCGGCUUCUCGAGCCGAGCACCCGGGUUCAAAUCCCGGCAGGAGCACCA
rnacentral:tRNA from 1 species